ensembl:lncRNA
AUGUACUCAUCCUCAGACCAAGAUGAGGAUGAGUUUCUUCAUCAGGUUUGUAGAAAUAUAGCAUUGUAUCAGUGUCUCAGCAAUGCAUGCUCUGCAGUGAAUGGUGAUGUUUUUAUCAGCUGUUUGGACUCUCAUUCUGACGGCACCCAUGUGAAUCAAGAGAGAAAUCUGCACAGAUCAAGCAGUGUUUAAACAGCUCUAAACAAAUAUGUGUCUGGAUUUUGAUGUGAGAGACAACAUUAUUAUAAAGCAAUAAUGCUGAAAGGGGCGGAGCUACAGGCUUUUGUUACAUUCAGAGCUGGUUACAUUGUGUUGUGUCUGUUACAUUGCUCCAUCUUUUUUGUUAGUAGUUACAUUGCGCCAAAGUUCCAUUUUCAAAAGCUGAAAACAUUCCAAAGUAAUCGGAGCUCAAGAUUCUUCCUCACACCUUCCCUGAGUCGUUUGUAAUUCACUGGAAAUAUGUUUGUCUUCCCCCAGUGUUGUGUGUCGCACUGACAGAUUUUCAAGCCAUUAAACGCCCCCGAGAGCCAGGAGAGAGGAGCGACGGGGGGCUUUCUAUCACUCCUGUACAUAAACACUCUCUGCUGGGUUUCUACUUGACAGGUGAUAAAAAAGAAAUAAAGAAAUAAAAAAUCACACACAAAGCAUUCCCGAUCUGCAGCGCUGCAGAGGAGCACAAUUAAACACCUGGAGCUCCGAGCAUGGAGUAAAAGCGCUGUAAAUUACAUUAGAUAAAUCCAUCUGCAUAAUAACCCAGUGCCAAGCAAGCAAGGAAUCUGCUGCAUUGCAUAACUAAGAAUUAGUCAUUCAGAGACUGGUCCAGUCCACAUCCCAAAAUCCAUUUUACAGCCCCAAGAAAGCAGCUUAAACAUCCAAAAACUUUAAUAAUAAGAUUGUUUUUAAAAAUAUACAAAUCUUCUCAUUGAUUGUUGGCUUAGAGAGUAGCGUGUGGCCUCAUCUUUGUGCAUUUUGUGACUUGUUGUGUUGUUUUUUUGUUUGUUUGUUUUUUAGAUAAGGAUUAUUGAAUGCCAUUUCAUUGCAUAAUAAUUCAUAUGUAGGCCUAUUUCCUCUCACAUAGACUAAUUAAAGGACUUUUCUCUGAUGAUCAUGUAAUUCUGAUUUAAUGUUUUUGUUAAAUACAACUAAAAAUGCACGAGAGAUUUCUUAACCAAAAAUGAAAACCCUGUCAUCACUUACUCAUCUUUAUGUUAUUUUUAAACUUUAUACAUACAUAAAGUGGGUAUUU